GACGAACGCUGGCGGCGUGCCUAAUACAUGAAAGUAGAACGCAGUUGCGAACGGGUGAGUAACGCAUAGGUAACUGCCUGGUAGCGGGGGAAAACUAUUGGACACGAUAGCUAAUACCGCAUACUACCCAAUGGAACUGCGUUGUAUUAGCUAGUUGGUGAGGUAACGCCACACUAAGGCAACGAAACAUAGCCGACCUGAGAUGGUGGGCGGCCACACUUGGACUGAUACACGUCCCAUACUCCUACGGGAGGCAGCAGGAAGGAAUCUUCGGCAUUGGGGGGAACCCUGACCGAGCAACGCCGCGUGAGUUAAGAAGGUUUUCGGAUCGUAAAGCUCUGUUGGUAAGAAAGCGGUACGUAACCAGAAAGGGACGGCUAACUACGUGCCAGCAGCCGCGGUAAUAC
rnacentral:rRNA from 1 species